rnacentral:rRNA from 1 species
UACGUAGGGGGCUAGCGUUGUCCGGAAUCAUUGGGCGUAAAGAGCGUGUAGGCGGUCCGGUAAGUCCGCUGUGAAAGUCGGGGGCUCAACCCUGGAAUGCCGGUGGAUACUGCCGGGCUAGAGUCCGGAAGAGGCGAGUGGAAUUCCUGGUGUAGCGGUGAAAUGCGCAGAUAUCAGGAGGAACACCGAUGGCGAAGCAGCUCGCUGGGACGGUAGCUGACGCUGAGACGCGAAAGCGUGGGAGCAAACAGGAUAG